rnacentral:rRNA from 1 species
GAGUUUGAUCCUGGCUCAGAUUGAACGCUGGCGGCAGGCCUAACACAUGCAAGUCGAGCGGCAGCACAGAGGAACUUGUUCCUUGGGUGGCGAGCGGCGGACGGGUGAGUAAUGCCUGGGAAAUUGCCCUGAUGUGGGGGAUAACCAUUGGAAACGAUGGCUAAUACCGCAUGAUGCCUACGGGCCAAAGAGGGGGACCUUCGGGCCUCUCGCGUCAGGAUAUGCCCAGGUGGGAUUAGCUAGUUGGUGAGGUAAUGGCUCACCAAGGCGACGAUCCCUAGCUGGUCUGAGAGGAUGAUCAGCCACACUGGAACUGAGACACGGUCCAGACUCCUACGGGAGGCAGCAGUGGGGAAUAUUGCACAAUGGGCGCAAGCCUGAUGCAGCCAUGCCGCGUGUAUGAAGAAGGCCUUCGGGUUGUAAAGUACUUUCAGUCGUGAGGAAGGUUGUAGUGUGAAUAGCACUAUGAUUUGACGUUAGCGACAGAAGAAGACACCGGCUAACUCCG